rnacentral:lncRNA from 1 species
GGGAUGCUACCAAAAAGACAUACAUUUAACAAAGAAGGAGAAAUUUCGACAGCAACUCCUCUAAAACAUAAGCAUUACGGAAGCAUCAAAAAUAAGUAUAGCAUUGCAAGUAGCCAUCCACAAAAAAACAAGGAGAAAGGAACAUUCAGGGAUGAAAUAAACUAAUUUCAACUCCCAGAUUCAUCUAGUGCAACUUAACAAGGGUACAAUUCCUUUUUUACAAAAAUCAUGACAACUUUAAAGAUUAAGGUGGCAGUGUGGAAUGCCGUUGUGCUUCUACUCCCGUUUCCCCCAAGCGAGCAUGUCACUUUAAGCACCUGAAAACACUGUAGGGGUGUGAGAAUAAAUCUCAGCAAGAGAAUUGUUUUAUCAAGUUAUUUAACCUACCAAAACAUUAAAUUAUAUUUAUAAGAAAACAAGGGAACAUAACAUUAAAUAUAAAGGCAAACAUCUAGUGUUCAUAGGUUCAAGAGUAAGGAGGAUAAACCACAUCUGCAAAGACUUCAUGAGAAAGAAGCCCUCUCAUGAACUCAAUAGAGUAUAUAACUUCCAUACCCCAAAAUGCCAAAGUGCAAUGCGAUGCAAAUGCAAUGAUAUUCCUACCUUCACACCCAGGUGUGAAGCUGCAUCGUGUUAUGACAAUACACGAUGCUGUACCGGUACGGUCGUGACCAUAGGUUCACGACAUAACUUCGAAUGAAAUGCAUAUGAAAUGCAAUGCAAUACAAUAAUAGAGGAAAUAUAACACGGCCAUAAAUCCUUCCAAUGAUAUCACAUAUAAUAAUUACUCUCACUAAAAGCAUACCACAUUAACCAUAGUUAGCCGAGCGGAGAGAGCUCAAAGCAAGAUACAUAAAAUAAUCAUUUGCACAUAUGGAAUUAUAGUGAUUGUAGGUAUUAAAGUGUCAAGGUGGAGGUUGGAAAAAAAACAUGAUAAAACCGUAGCAAACCACAGCUACAUUCACUUGCCUCCAAUGAAGGGUUGGUAUCAUACACGAUCUGAAGGACCACCACCUAAUCACAAACAAAGCCUCAGCAAACACACUCAAAUAUGCAUAUAAAACAGUAAAUAACAUGCAUCUACGGCCUCAACACCUCAAAAUGCAAAAACAAGGAAUGCCGCUUGGACUAUAAACAGUACUGUUGCUUCAAACCUUUAUAUCUCGAAAUAUAAAAAUGAUAUGACUGCAAAUAAAUACAUUUUGGAAAUCUACAGAAUGAGACCUAGAACUUUCGUGUAGAACCCAUAUUUUUAUUCUGCCAUUUAGACGGCCUAAAGCGCAAAUCAAUACAAGCUUCAGAAUCUGCCCAAGAAUUCAGACUGCCACACUUAAAAACAGCCAUAUAUGGAGUUCUACUUGCCCAAUCAAAGUGUACUUUAUCAAUAUGGAAAGCUAAGGAAAAACUCUACAACUUCCUAGUUAUAAACUUUCGCAGCAAAAAUCAUUUUGAUCCUCUAAUUAGCGAAAUACAGAGACAAAGCAAAGCUGACAGCGCCCAGAAACACUAAUCCAAAACACAACACCUAAUCCCAUCCUCUAACCCUCCAAUAACGACGAAUUACAACCCUAAAACAACCUACAACCUCUGCACAGGAGAGUUAAGCCUCACCUAGGGUUUGGAGAACUUGAGAGUAUGAUGGGAAAACCAACCCACCACUCUUCCUACUCGUCUCCUCUUCCUCGAUCCGUUUUUCCAAUCAGAUUCUUGAUUAGGGCUAUGGUUCUUGGAGAUCCAUGGAGUAGGGUUAACAGGAGAGAAAGGAACACGUGAGUUCCAUAGGUGCUGAGGGGGAGGUGUGGCGGCGUCGGCUGGGAAGGUGGGAGUCGCCUCUCCCUAGGGUAUUUGGUGGGGGAGGUGGGCUGGACUAGUGCG